rnacentral:lncRNA from 12 species
AAAAUAAUUUACAAUACUGGCUCUUUUUAUAGCAUUUUCCUUGUUGUACAAACCACACCCUAAUAAGUUUUUCAUAUGGCACAUAAAUUUAACAAUACCGGCAGGAAUAUUUUCAUCGGUUAAACCAAAGGCAAAAGGGUUUUUACCCCUUGAGCAUAUUACAAUUCUGGCCUUUUUAGAGCAUUUGGGUCGUGGGCGGCACCCAAUGUAAUAAGCUUUUGAGAACAGGAAACAACCCCCAAUAAAAGGAAAAAGGGACUACCCUUGGGUACGGCUACUUUCACAAGAGGGGUCGGGGCGGCACGGGGGGGGGGCAGGGGAGAGAUUCAAAUCUAGUUUUUAUAGCUGCUAUCUUGAUGCAAUUAGUGUAAAAUAAUUGUCUGCACAGGCCAAAGAAGAGGCUAAGUUGAGGCACUUGAAUGCAUUCCCGAAAAUUAUUUCCCUGCCUCUCCCUUCAGCCUGCUGCAGCAGAUGUUGGCUGUUAAGCCGCGCAGACGACACAGUUCAUGACUUUUCUGAGACGGCUGUGUGCCACAUCUGCAGUUGAUGAAAUGGAGAGCAGAAGUGUGGCAGACACACAGAGGAGAGUGUGAGCGAGGCAGGCAGGCGCAGCCUGGGCCAAAGGAACUGUCUUGAAGGCUGGCCUAAAAAUAGACACACGCUCACACUCCUCCACCCUCCGCAUCCAACCUCAUAAAACCGGGCCUGCCUGUCCUAUUAUGGAGUCGGCCUAUGGCAGACACUUCCUGCAUCCAACCUGGGCUGCGGAUAACGCGAGAGCGUCGAGGCAGGAGUGGUGGGAAGCAGGCUGUGCAGCAUCCUCCAAGUGCAGCUCCGCGCUCCGAGCCUCGAAACUGCUGUCAGCCAAAUUGUACUACGCAUGCUGCAGAAGUCGACUUGCAAAAUUUCCACUUGAAAAGGGAUCAUCGAGGAGAAUCGGGGCGAAAUGGGCACCACUCCCUGCUUGUGAACGGUGGCGACUCCUGCUGCAUGGUGUCUCCGGGGCCUCCAAGCGUCCCAGUCAUCGCUAAUGUGGUCGCCGCCGCCCUGCUGAGCCACUGGGCCCCGCCGCGCCACAGUGCCAAGCUCAGAUUCAAGGGUGUGUACAUGGCUAGUGACGUCUACGUGGUGGCAGAUGUGGCCAGGCAAGUCUUGUCCUCGCCUGCACAUCCCCUAGCCUCUGCCUCGAACAAAGUGGGCAAGCAGGCACACAGGAAACCUGAGGACGACCCGCCUGCGUCCCCCUCAUUCUGCACCCAGAGCAGUCAGACUGCAUCAUUUCUCUCUGGUUUACUCAACUGCUUCCAACCUGACUAA